UAUCGUCUGUGAUGAGACCACAGAAUUCUGCGUCAGGCAUGGCGCCUGAUAGCAAUGACGAGUUCUUCUGUUGCCUUCCUUCUGAGACCGCC